GGCUAGUUCAAGUAUAGUGGUAUUUAAAAUUAAUUGACCACAGCCAGUUAAAGUUUAAUUUUUUGUUCAAUCUGUAUUCCCACUGCUUCACCUGACUAGCCUUUA
ensembl:misc_RNA Y_RNA Y RNA